rnacentral:lncRNA from 1 species
AUCAUAUAUUUGUGUGUGUGUGUGUGUGUGUGUCUUACAGGUAAAAAACAUGCUCCCAAAGGUUGACAGGGAAAGGGUGGCCAACUUCAUGUGCCACAACAUCCAGACGGCAGACAAAUAUUAUGCCAUGAAUUUAAAUCCAACCCAAGCAAAUGAAACCAGGGCACUCUUUGAGGCUGCACUGAAGGGGGAAGAUAACACAGUCGCCGCAGAGAACCAGCCCUCCACCUCAGGAGAAAGAAAGCAGAAGGUGAGAGAGGAUGCCUCCCUCUCCGACGGGAGCACCACCCCUGAAGAGACCAAGGUGAUGUACCAGGAGUCUGGCACGUCCGCCGGUGACUCGGAAGAGGAGGAAGAGGAUGAAGAUGAGGAACAGAUGGCCAGACAACUUCCAGAGACACCUUCCAAGGUGACCAAUCCUCAGGUGGAGAUGGAACUUACCCCAAAGAGGAAGCGGAGCAUCUGCACACGCCGCAUGGAGGUCGCCAUCAGCCCCAUGCUAGUCUCACCCCUCAAAGUGAGGCUCAAGUCGCCCCCCCCACCAGUCCCUCAUUGUCACAUUAAAAGGGAUGCAACAACUAAACUCAAAUAA